UAGAGUUUGAUCCUGGCUCAGGAUGAACGCUGGCGGCGUGCCUAAUACAUGCAAGUCGAGCGAACAGAUAAGGAGCUUGCUCCUUUGACGUUAGCGGCGGACGGGUGAGUAACACGUGGGUAACCUACCUAUAAGACUGGGAUAACUUCGGGAAACCGGAGCUAAUACCGGAUAAUAUUUCGAACCGCAUGGUUCGAUAGUGAAAGAUGGUUUUGCUAUCACUUAUAGAUGGAUCCGCGCCGUAUUAGCUAGUUGGUAAGGUAACGGCUUACCAAGGCAACGAUACGUAGCCGACCUGAGAGGGUGAUCGGCCACACUGGAACUGAGACACGGUCCAGACUCCUACGGGAGGCAGCAGUAGGGAAUCUUCCGCAAUGGGCGAAAGCCUGACGGAGCAACGCCGCGUGAGUGAUGAAGGUCUUCGGAUCGUAAAACUCUGUUAUUAGGGAAGAACAUACGUGUAAGUAACUAUGCACGUCUUGACGGUACCUAAUCAGAAAGCCACGGCUAACUACGUGCCAGCAGCCGCGGUAAUACGUAGGUGGCAAGCGUUAUCCGGAAUUAUUGGGCGUAAAGCGCGCGUAGGCGGUUUUUUAAGUCUGAUGUGAAAUCCCACGGCUCAACCGUGGAGGGUCAUUGGAAACUGGAAAACUUGAGUGCAGAAGAGGAAAGUGGAAUUCCAUGUGUAGCGGUGAAAUGCGCAGAGAUAUGGAGGAACACCAGUGGCGAAGGCGACUUUCUGGUCUGUAACUGACGCUGAUGUGCGAAAGCGUGGGGAUCAAACAGGAUUAGAUACCCUGGUAGUCCACGCCGUAAACGAUGAGUGCUAAGUGUUAGGGGGUUUCCGCCCCUUAGUGCUGCAGCUAACGCAUUAAGCACUCCGCCUGGGGAGUACGACCGCAAGGUUGAAACUCAAAGGAAUUGACGGGGACCCGCACAAGCGGUGGAGCAUGUGGUUUAAUUCGAAGCAACGCGAAGAACCUUACCAAAUCUUGACAUCCUUUGACCGCUCUAGAGAUAGAGUUUUCCCCUUCGGGGGACAAAGUGACAGGUGGUGCAUGGUUGUCGUCAGCUCGUGUCGUGAGAUGUUGGGUUAAGUCCCGCAACGAGCGCAACCCUUAAACUUAGUUGCCAGCAUUCAGUUGGGCACUCUAAGUUGACUGCCGGUGACAAACCGGAGGAAGGUGGGGAUGACGUCAAAUCAUCAUGCCCCUUAUGAUUUGGGCUACACACGUGCUACAAUGGACAAUACAAAGGGCAGCGAAACCGCGAGGUCAAGCAAAUCCCAUAAAGUUGUUCUCAGUUCGGAUUGUAGUCUGCAACUCGACUACAUGAAGCUGGAAUCGCUAGUAAUCGUAGAUCAGCAUGCUACGGUGAAUACGUUCCCGGGUCUUGUACACACCGCCCGUCACACCACGAGAGUUUGUAACACCCGAAGCCGGUGGAGUAACCAUUUUGGAGCUAGCCGUCGAAGGUGGGACAAAUGAUUGGGGUGAAGUCGUAACAAGGUAGCCGUAUCGGAAGGUGCGGCUGGAUC
rnacentral:rRNA from 1 species